AGAGUUUGAUCCUGGCUCAGGACGAACGCUGGCGGCAUGCCUAAUACAUGCAAGUCGAGCGAACAGAUGAAGUGCUUGCACUUCUGACGUUAGCGGCGAACGGGUGAGUAACACGUAAGGAAUCUACCUAUAAGCGGGGGAUAACAUUCGGAAACGGGUGCUAAUACCGCAUAAUAUCUUCUUCCGCAUGGAAGAAGAUUGAAAGACGGCUCUGCUGUCACUUAUAGAUGACCUUGCGGUGCAUUAGUUAGUUGGUGGGGUAACGGCCUACCAAGACGAUGAUGCAUAGCCGACUUGAGAGGGUGAUCGGCCACAUUGGGACUGAGACACGGCCCAAACUCCUACGGGAGGCAGCAGUAGGGAAUCUUCCGCAAUGGGCGAAAGCCUGACGGAGCAAUGCCGCGUGAGUGAAGAAGGCCUUCGGGUCGUAAAACUCUGUUAUAAGAGAAGAACAAAUUGUAGAGUAACUGCUACAGUCUUGACGGUAUCUUAUCAGAAAGCCACGGCUAACUACGUGCCAGCAGCCGCGGUAAUACGUAGGUGGCAAGCGUUGUCCGGAUUUAUUGGGCGUAAAGGGAGCGCAGGUGGUUUCUUAAGUCUGAUGUGAAAGCCCACGGCUUAACCGUGGAGGGUCAUUGGAAACUGGGAAACUUGAGUACAGAAGAGGAAUGUGGAACUCCAUGUGUAGCGGUGGAAUGCGUAGAUAUAUGGAAGAACACCAGUGGCGAAGGCGACAUUCUGGUCUGUUACUGACACUGAGGCUCGAAAGCGUGGGGAGCAACAGGAUUAGAUACCNUGGUAGUCCCCCC
rnacentral:rRNA from 1 species